GGGAAGAUGGCUCAGUGGUAGAGCACUUGCCUUGCAUGCCUGAGGCCCUGGGUU
rnacentral:tRNA from 1 species